UACGGAGGGUGCAAGCGUUGUCCGGAUUUAUUGGGUUUAAAGGGUGCGUUGGCGGCCUUUUAAGUCAGUGGUGAAAGCCCGCGGCUCAACCGCGGAACUGCCAUUGAUACUGGGAGGCUUGAGUACAGACGAGGUAGGCGGAAUUGAAGAUGUAGCGGUGAAAUGCUUAGAUAUCUUCAAGAACACCGAUUGCGUAGGCAGCUUACUAGGCUGUAACUGACGCUGAGGCACGAAAGCGUGGGGAGCGAACAGG
rnacentral:rRNA from 1 species